GCAUUCUCAUUCAUUCUCACCCGUCAACUAAGGAAAGAAAUAUGAUUACACCUUCGUCAACAACCAAAAUAACCCCACUACUCUACUCCUGCAUUUUUUUCAUCGGCUAACUGCUCCCCACAAACAAACCCAUAUUCUCCCACUAUUUUUUGUUUUUUUUUUUUGACGGAAAAUAUUCUCCCGCUUAUACUCUUCGUUCACACCACUUGCUCAAAUCUCUCCGAAUGUUUUCUUCCCAGAAUUUUGUUCUUCAGUGCCCACGAUGUUUUAGGGAUUUCAAUCUCAUUGAAGAUCGCCCAAUAGAUAUAUCCAAAGUCCCAAGAGAUCAAAGUCUUGCCGUGAUUACCCCUAACAAAGGUAAUUCUUCGGUAGCUAACUUUGAUUUUUGGUUGGAUGAGUUGUUCUCUUGGAGCAACUGCAGUGGACGACCAAACCCAAAAAUAUGGUCUAGCAAAGAGACACAGCGGGACGGAUUAAAGAUUAAAAGUAGGACCAAAACCAAAUCCCAAACUAUAUUUGGUCCGGGACCAAGACCAUAAUAAUAUUCGUUUCUUAAUAGGCGAACGUAUAGUCUCGGCUUCACAUGACGCGGUUGUAUAGUGUCCGCUCCAAAUUGAGUUGCAGAGUUUGAUUUUGUGAUUUUGCUGCUAAUACCUAGACUAUGAGUAACUGUGAGUCCAUUCCUUUCAAGAAAUAUUCAGUUACUUUUAGUCUUAAUAUCUGUACUUGAACAAAUAUGGUUUGCAGAAUCUUAUAGUCCAAUUUGUUGUUUGAUAAUAUAAUAAUAUAUUAGAUAUUGGUUUAUGCAUGUGGUGAUGAAAAUGAAAGAGAAAUCCUGAAUUAUAAUCUUUCAGUUGUGCAUUGUACCCACUUGCUAAUAUCAUUUCUGUUUAUUGGUGUCAUAGUUCUUGAACCAGGACAACCCAGCAACAUUGAGAAGUUAGAACUACAAUUUUGGUUUGGUUCAUACAAUUUUGGACUGUAUUUCAGUACUAUAUGUGAGUUUUUGACGCUGAGUGGCUCGGAAACAGUCCACCAUUAACGUUUUUUCCAUUGGAAUGUUAGUUAGGUGUAGGCUUACUUUGAAUUCAUGAGGUGCCAUUCAUCUUAAUAUUUUUUUAUGUCUUAUUUAUCAUUCCGUCACCUUCAAAUCGAUGAAUCAAGUGAUGGAUUGUGUGUUACUGUCUUAUAAAGUUAUCAGGUUGGAGUAUUGUAACGUGUAGUGGGUGAUGCCCUGGACUUAACAUGGUGAUUUGGGAGGUUGUUUGGUGUCUCAAACACACGUAUGGUUUCACAAGAAUAUUAAGAAUAAAGGUAAAAUUAUGGCGUUAUUUUGUAAGUGGGAAAGAAAACAUUACUCAUCUCGAUUUCAUCAGUAACUCUGUAUUAUAUUGAUGGGUAUGACUGGCUAAGCGUUUAAGGUUGUGCAUGAUUUUAAUAGUAUCGCCAAUUGAUAAGGAAUCUGCUUAUGUAGGGUAGAUACAUGAGUUUUUGUUUUGGUUUUGUGAUUUUCAGUUACAGGGGUUGAUUUUGUGGUAUUCUUUUAGUGCUGAGUCUAAGAUUCAGGUAACUAUAUAUUUUUCUUUUUCUUUGAUGGUUCAAGGCAAUGCCUAAUAGGUGUUCCGUUUUAAUGGAAUUUCAGGCACCUACUAAAACGAAUUAUUGGUUUCAGACUAGCAAAACUUAAAUUCAUCUGUUUGAUUUCCUUGCACAUCUUAAAACAAAUAUGUCUUCUGAAAGGAACUGCAAUCAUGGGUCCUUCUGGCAAGAAACUCCUAAAAAGAAGGUAAUGAUUUGACAAUCAGGUUAAUUGCAAUGGAGGCAAAAGAAGACUCUUCUGCACAACAGUUGCAGAUGGCCGAUGGGUCUGAAAUAUGGGAGUCCAGUGGAAGAUGUGAUGACCAAAUUAGCAAUACAAUGUGGGGGAUGGAAGUCGGUGUAUAGUGAGUUGCAUUUGCAUAUGGCUAUAGAGAGCUUACCGCAAGGUACUGUCCCUUCAACAUAAGAUAUGGUCUAAACGUUUAUUUCAGAUUUUCUCUCAAAGUACCUUUCACAUAUGGGCUAUGAAAGCUUGCGGCAAGGUGCCAUCACAACCAGGGUAUCGGUGAAAUCAUUACUUUUGAGUUCAAUGGGGAGGAUGCGACCUGUAGCUGUUCAUUGCCACAAAUUAUGCAACCAGAUAUUCAUGUAAAUGCAAACAACGAACUGCUCAUUUUGGCACAAUACAUGGAUACACAGAACUCCAUCCACUGCACAUAUGCCUACUGAAACUUGGCAUAACUUUGAUACACGAUCACCAGUCAUUUAUAUAUCUUCAUCAUGAUUCUGAACACAGUCCUUCACAAAGUUGUGAAAGGCAAUAACACAAUGUUGUACUGUAUGGAUUCACCUACAGUGUAAUUGGUAUCAACUCCGACCACACAGUCCUUCACCUACUUUUAAUUCGCUGUAUCUGGCAUGUGAAGUUCCACCAAUUUUUGUGAAUUUUUGCUAUCAACUUCAUCUUUUUUUUUUCCUUUCGGUUUUGAGCUGUACUAAUAGGACAAACUAAACCAUAUGCUGAUAAGUGACAACCAAUUACUUUCGCCUUA